AGAGUUUGAUCAUGGCUCAGAACGAACGCUGGCGGCAGGCUUAACACAUGCAAGUCGAACGCCCCGCAAGGGGAGUGGCAGACGGGUGAGUAACACGUGGGAACGUGCCCAAAGGUACGGAACAACUCCGGGAAACUGGAGCUAAUACCGUAUGUGCCCGAAAGGGGAAAGAUUUAUCGCCUUUGGAUCGGCCCGCGUCUGAUUAGCUAGUUGGCGGGGUAAUGGCCCACCAAGGCGACGAUCAGUAGCUGGUCUGAGAGGAUGACCAGGCACACUGGGACUGAGACACGGGCCAGACUCCUACGGGAGGCAGCAGUGGGGAAUAUUGGACAAUGGGCGCAAGCCUGAUCCAGCCAUGCCGCGUGAGUGAUGAAGGCCUUAGGGUUGUAAAGCUCUUUCGCCGAGGACGAUAAUGACGGUACUCGGAUGAGAAGCCCCGGCUAACUUCGUGCCAGCAGCCGCGGUAAUACGAAGGGGGCUAGCGUUGUUCGGAAUUACUGGGCGUAAAGCGUAUGCAGGCGGAUCUCUAAGUCGGGGGUGAAAUCCUGAGGCUCAACCUCAGAACUGCCUUCGAUACUGGAGAUCUUGAGUCCGGGAGAGGUGAGUGGAACUGCGAGUGUAGAGGUGAAAUUCGUAGAUAUUCGCAAGAACACCAGUGGCGAAGGCGGCUCACUGGCCCGGUACUGACGCUGAGAUACGAAAGCGUGGGGAGCAAACAGGAUUAGAUACCCCUGGUAGUCCACGCCGUAAACGAUGAAUGCUAGCCGUCGGCCAGCUUGCUGGUCGGUGGCGCAGCUAACGCAAUAAGCAUUCCGCCUGGGGAGUACGAUCGCAAGAUUAAAACUCAAAUGAAUUGACGG
rnacentral:rRNA from 1 species